rnacentral:rRNA from 1 species
UACGAAGGGGGCUAGCGUUGCUCGGAAUCACUGGGCGUAAAGGGUGCGUAGGCGGGUUCUUAAGUCAGAGGUGAAAUCCUGGAGCUCAACUCCAGAACUGCCUUUGAUACUGAGAGUCUUGAGUACGGGAGAGGUGAGUGGAACUGCGAGUGUAGAGGUGAAAUUCGUAGAUAUUCGCAAGAACACCAGUGGCGCAGGCGGCUCACUGGCCCGUUACUGACGCUGAGGCACGAAAGCGUGGGGAGCAAACAGG